GAUCCUGGCUCAGGAUGAACGCUAGCUACAGGCUUAACACAUGCAAGUCGAGGGGCAGCAUGUUGGUUGCUUGCAACCAAUGAUGGCGACCGGCGCACGGGUGAGUAACGCGUAUCCAACCUACCCUUGUCCAUCGGAUAACCCGUCGAAAGGCGGCCUAACACGAUAUGCGGUUCACAGCAGGCAUCUAACGUGAACGAAAUGUGAAGGAGAAGGAUUGGGGAUGCGU
rnacentral:rRNA from 1 species